rnacentral:rRNA from 1 species
UACGGAGGGUGCAAGCGUUAUCCGGAUUCACUGGGUUUAAAGGGUGCGUAGGAGGGCAGGUAAGUCAGUGGUGAAAUCUCCGAGCUUAACUUGGAAACUGCCGUUGAUACUAUCUGCCUUGAAUAUUGUGGAGGUGAGCGGAAUAUGUCAUGUAGCGGUGAAAUGCUUAGAUAUGACAUAGAACACCAAUUGCGAAGGCAGCUCGCUACACAUAUAUUGACUCUGAGGCACGAAAGCGUGGGGAUCAAACAGG